AGCGAUUCUCCUGCCUCAGCCUCCUGAGUAGCUGGGAUUACAGUCAGGACAAGAUUCAGACGUGCACCCUGAGACGUCUUGGAGAAAGGAAGAGAGACAGGCAACAGAAGGAAGCAAAGCAGAUGCCGCGAGAACGGGCCUGGGAAAGGUUUCAAGCAGAGUGCGGCAUCUGUGGACAAUGUGAGCUGCGCUGCGGCCUCCACUGGACAGCCCACCCCCUGCUUCCUGCUGCAGCUUUUCUUUCGAGGAACAAGACUACAUCUGUUUGGCGAUAUUCUAUUUGGAAUCAUUAAAUAAAACUUUCAGGCCUGGCAAA